rnacentral:rRNA from 1 species
GAUGAACGCUGGCGGCGUGCCUAAUACAUGCAAGUCGAGCGAACAGACGAGGAGCUUGCUCCUCUGACGUUAGCGGCGGACGGGUGAGUAACACGUGGAUAACCUACCUAUAAGACUGGGAUAACUUCGGGAAACCGGAGCUAAUACCGGAUAAUAUAUUGAACCGCAUGGUUCAAUAGUGAAAGACGGUUUUGCUGUCACUUAUAGAUGGAUCCGCGCCGCAUUAGCUAGUUGGUAAGGUAACGGCUUACCAAGGCAACGAUGCGUAGCCGACCUGAGAGGGUGAUCGGCCACACUGGAACGGAGACACGGUCCAGACUCCUACGGGAGGCCGCAGUAGGGAAUCUUCCGCAAUGGGCGAAAGCCUGACGGAGCAACGCCGCGUGAGUGAUGAAGGUCUUCGGAUCGUAAAACUCUGUUAUUAGGGAAGAACAAAUGUGUAAGUAACUAUGCACGUCUUGACGGUACCUAAUCAGAAAGCCACGGCUAACUACGUG